GGGCCGCAUAGACCCGCCUUCCUGGGCCCCUAGGACAAGCCUCCCUGGGCCGCAUAGACCCGCCUCCCUGGGCCCCUAGGACAAGCCUCCCUGGGCCGCAUAGACCCGCCUUCCUGGGCCUUUAGACCCGCCUCCCUGGGCCGCAUAGACCCGCCUCCCUGGAACCGUAAACCCGCCUCCCUGGGCCGUGUAGAACCGCCUUCCUGGGCCCGUAGACCCGCCUCCCUGGGCCGCAUAGACCCGCCUCCCUGGGCCCGUAAACCCGCCUCCCUGGGCCGUGUAGAACCGCCUUCCUGGGCCAGUAGACCCGCCUCCCUGGGCCGCAUAGUCCCGCCUCCCUGGGCCCGUAAACCCGCCUCCCUGGGCCGUGUAGACCCGCCUCCCUGGGCCGUGUAUACCGGUCUCCCUGGGACCUGUAGACCGGUCUCUCUGGACCGUGUUGACUUGUCUCCCUGGGACCUGUGGACCGCUCUCUCUGAGACCUGUCGACCUGUGUCCCAUUGCCAUUGUUCCUGCGCUUCUAAACCAAUGGUUCAUUUGGGAUUAUGAGGGUUUAUCAAAACCCCAGAAGGAGCAGUACCUCAAAGAUAGGAGGGAUGCAUUGACCCCAACAGCUGUGGUGAUCAAUACUCCCCCCCCCCCCCCCCCCCUUGUAUUGGAAGGUCCUCUCAGGCACAGAUUGUGUAUAUUGGCGUAUUUAUCCGUUCAGGGUCGAUGGGGGCGUCGUUGUAAGUCCGCUGGCUUGUGAUGGUGCUGGAGGGGCUCAGCUCACCAGCCUGACCCCGUGUUGUUGAGGUGUGUGUGUGUGUGUGUGUGUGUGUGUGUGUGUCCCCCCCUAAAAUGGGGGGGGCUCACAUAAUUAAUACUAGUUACUGUGAGAGACCAAACAUGUGUAUGUGUGCGCAUUAGGGAUGGGCAAAAUGAUUCUUUUCCGGGAACUAGUUCUUUCAGUUCAGUUCACUAUAACGAUUCGUUUAUUUGAUUCGGUCGUUUUGAUUCGUUCGUUACGUCAGAUUACAUCUUAAAAAAAAUAAAAAAUAAAAAUAUAUUAUUUUUUUUAAUUGGUCAUGGGUCCGGAUAGGACCGUCAAGACCGCAGUCCGCCGUUUGGAGAUGCCUGCUAUAUAGUAUAUCGAACGUCCCACCAAUAUUUAUACCACUUGCUUACUCUCUAUAUUUCAUUCAUGGUUUUACAUUUAUAAUUUUAUUUUACUUUACAUUUAAUUCUUCAUUGUUCAGGCAUUACAGAACUUGCAUGGUCAUAAAUAAAAAAUACGAACUGCA